AUUGAACGCUGGCGGCAUGCCUUACACAUGCAAGUCGAACGGCAGCACGGGAGCAAUCCUGGUGGCGAGUGGCGAACGGGUGAGUAAUGUAUCGGAACGUGCCCAGUCGUGGGGGAUAACGUAGCGAAAGCUACGCUAAUACCGCAUACGAUCUAGGGAUGAAAGCGGGGGAUCGCAAGACAUCGCGCGAUUGGAGCGGCCGAUAUCAGAUUAGGUAGUUGGUGGGGUAAAGGCCUACCAAGCCUGCGAUCUGUAGCUGGUCUGAGAGGACGACCAGCCACACUGGAACUGAGACACGGUCCAGACUCCUACGGGAGGCAGCAGUGGGGAAUUUUGGACAAUGGGCGCAAGCCUGAUCCAGCAAUGCCGCGUGCAGGAUGAAGGCCUUCGGGUUGUAAACUGCUUUUGUACGGAGCGAAAAGGCUCUCUCUAAUACAGGGGGCUCAUGACGGUACCGUAAGAAUAAGCACCGGCUAACUACGUGCCAGCCGCCGCGGUAAAAC
rnacentral:rRNA from 1 species